CGAACGGAAUCUUCGGAUUCAGUGGCGGACGGGUGAGUAACACGUGGGAAUCUACUGAGUAGUGGGGGACAGCCCGGCGAAAGCCGGAUUAAUACCGCAUACGCCCUACGGGGGAAAGGCGCAAGCCGCUAUUUAAUGAGCCCGCGUAAGAUUAGCUAGUUGGUAAGGUAAAGGCUUACCAAGGCGACGAUCUUUAGCUGGUCUGAGAGGAUGGCCAGCCACAUCGGGACUGAGACACGGCCCGGACUCCUACGGGAGGCAGCAGCCGGGAAUAUUGGACAAUGGGCGCAAGCCUGAUCCAGCAAUACCGCGUGUGUGAAGAAGGCCUGCGGGUUGUAAAGCACUUUCAGUUGGGAAGAUAAUGACGUUACCAACAGAAGAAGCACCGGCUAACUCCGUGCCAGCAGCCGCGGUAAUACGGAGGGUGCAAGCGUUAAUCGGAAUUACUGGGCGUAAAGCGUGCGUAGGCGGUUUAUUAAGUCAGAUGUGAAAUCCCCGGGCUCAACCUGGGAACUGCAUCUGAUACUGGUAGACUAGAGUGUGGGAGAGGAGAGUGGAAUUUCCGGUGUAGCGGUGAAAUGCAUAGAGAUCGGAAGGAACAUCAGUGGCGAAGGCGACUCUCUGGACCAACACUGACGCUGAGGCACGAAAGCGUGGGUAGCAAACAGGAUUAGAUACCCUGGUAGUCCACGCCGUAAAC
rnacentral:rRNA from 1 species